rnacentral:rRNA from 1 species
GAUGAACGCUGGCGGCGUGCCUAAUACAUGCAAGUCGAGCGAACAGACGAGGAGCUUGCUCCUCUGACGUUAGCGGCGGACGGGUGAGUAACACGUGGAUAACCUACCUAUAAGACUGGGAUAACUUCGGGAAACCGGAGCUAAUACCGGAUAAUAUAUUGAACCGCAUGGUUCAAUAGUGAAAGACGGUUUUGCUGUCACUUAUAGAUGGAUCCGCGCCGCAUUAGCUAGUUGGUAAGGUAACGGCUUACCAAGGCGACGAUGCGUAGCCGACCUGAGAGGGGGAUCGGCCACACGGGAACUGAGACACGGUCCAGACUCCUACGGGAGGCAGCAGUAGGGAAUCUUCCGCAAUGGGCGAAAGCUUGACGGAGCAACGCCGCGUGAGUGAUGAAGGUCUUCGGAUCGUAAAACUCUGUUAUUAGGGAAGAACAAAUGUGUAAGUAACUAUGCACGUCUUGACGGUACCUAAUCAGAAAGCCACGGCUAACUACGUG